CCUACGGGGAGCAGCAGUGAGGAAUAUUGGUCAAUGGACGAGAGUCUGAACCAGCCAAGUAGCGUGAAGGAUGACUGCCCUAUGGGUUGUAAACUUCUUUUAUAUGGGAAUAAAACGUUCCACGUGUGGGAUUUUGUAUGUACCAUAUGAAUAAGGAUCGGCUAACUCCGUGCCAGCAGCCGCGGUAAUACGGAGGAUCCGAGCGUUAUCCGGAUUUAUUGGGUUUAAAGGGAGCGUAGGUGGAUUGUUAAGUCAGUUGUGAAAGUUUGCGGCUCAACCGUAAAAUUGAAGUUGAAACUGGCAGUCUUGAGUACAGUAGAGGUGGGCGGAAGUCGUGGUGUAGCGGUGAAAUGCUUAGAUAUCACGAAGAACUCCGAUUGCGAAGGCAGUUCACUGGACUGCAACUGACACUGAGGCUCGAAAGUGUGGGUAUCAAACAGGAUUAGAUACCCCUGUAGUC
rnacentral:rRNA from 1 species